rnacentral:rRNA from 1 species
UUUUAUGAGAGUUUGAUCCUGGCUCAGGACGAACGCUGGCGGCGUGCCUAAUACAUGCAAGUCGUACGCUUCUUUUUCCACCGGAGCUUGCUCCACCGGAAAAAGAGGAGUGGCGAACGGGUGAGUAACACGUGGGUAACCUGCCCAUCAGAAGGGGAUAACACUUGGAAACAGGUGCUAAUACCGUAUAACAAUCGAAACCGCAUGGCUUUGAUUUGAAAGGCGCUUUCGGGUGUCGCUGAUGGAUGGACCCGCGGUGCAUUAGCUAGUUGGUGAGGUAA